GGGCCCGCACAAGCGGUGGAGCAUGUGGUUUAAUUCGAUGCAACGCGAAGAACCUUACCAGGGUUUGACAUCCUGCGAACUUUUUAGAGAUAGAAAGGUGCCUUCGGGAACGCAGUGACAGGUGCUGCAUGGCUGUCGUCAGCUCGUGUUGUGAAAUGUUGGGUUAAGUCCCGUAACGAGCGCAACCCUUGUCCUUAUUUGCCAGCACGUAAUGGUGGGAACUCUAAGGAGACUGCCGGUGACAAACCGGAGGAAGGUGGGGACGACGUCAAGUCAUCAUGGCCCUUACGACCAGGGCUACACACGUGCUACAAUGGGGCGUACAGAGGGUUGCGAAGCCGCGAGGUGGAGCC
rnacentral:rRNA from 1 species